rnacentral:lncRNA from 1 species
ACACACACUAAGCGCGUUAAACUCUCUAUAAAGGCAUUUGCUUGGUAUUGGGUUUCAAUAUCUAGUUUUGUACCCAGCUCUCUUGAGGGUUGUGGAGUGUAGCUAGUAUUGAACAUGGAGAUCAAUUAUGCUCUGGCAUUGCUCUUAGUCCUCAUUCUCAACUUGGGUAGUUUGCUCACUUCUCUUGCUAACUCCUAUUGCCCACCACCAACAUACCCUCCAGUUCCUCACUUGCCACCCAAACACCCUCCCCAUGUAACUCCACCCUUCCACCCUAAACCACCAAAGAAGCCACCACCAUAUGUCAAACCACCUCAUGCAAAGCCUCCUCCUCAUGUACCAAUCAAACCCCCUCAUGUUAAACCACCCAUUGUAAAACCACCUCCUUAUCCGAAACCUCCAGUUGCCAAACCACCUCCCCAUCCCAAACCUCCUGUUGUCAAACCACCUCCCCAUCCCAAACCUCCUGUUGUCAAACCACCUCCCCAUCCCAAACCUCCUGUUGUCAAACCACCUCCCUAUCCCAAACCUCCUGUUGUCAAACCACCUCACCUAUCCCAAACCUCCUGUUGUCAAACCACCCUCCCUAUCCCAAACCUCCUGUUGUCAAACCACCUCCCUAUCCCAAACCUCCUGUUGUCAAACCACCUCACCAUCCCAAGCCUCCUGUUGUCAAACCACCUCCCCAUCCCAAACCUCCUGUUGUCAAGCCUCCAGUUGUCAAACCACCUCCCCAUCCCAAACCACCAGUUGUACUGCCUCCACCAUAUACCCCGAAGCCCCGGUUGUACUGCCUUCCACCAUAUACCCCGAAGCCCCCGGUUGUGCUGCCUCCACCAUAUACCCCGAAGCCCCCGGUUGUGGCCUCCACCAUAUCCCCCGAACCCCCCCGGUGUAUGUGCUGCCUCCACCAUAUACCCCGAAGCCCCCGGUUGUACUGCCUCCACCAUAUACCCCGAAGCCCCCGGUUGUACUGCCUCCACCAUAUACCCCGAAGCCCCCGGUUGUACUGCCUCCACCAUAUACCCCGAAGCCCCCGGUUGUACUGCCUCCACCAUAUACCCCGAAGCCCCCAGUUGUACUGCCUCCACCAUAUACCCCCAAGCCCCCAGUUGUACUGCCUCCACCAUAUACCCCCAAGCCCCCAGUUGUACUGCCUCCACCUUCACCACCUGUUGUAGUGCCAAGCCCACCAUCAACACCAACCCCAACCCCAGUUGUCCCAGUGAAGCCUCCUCCACCCACUGAAACACCAUGCCCUCCUCCACCACCAAAGGUAGUACCACCCCCAACAUCACCACCUCCAAAGUCGCCACCGAAGGACACGUGCCCCAUCGACACCUUAAAGUUGGGAGCUUGUGUAGAUGUGCUGGGUGGACUUAUCCAC